UCUGCUAAAGUUUUUCUCCCUGCUGAUAUUACCGAGAAGCCUGAAGACUCAAGAAUUAAAUCUGAUAACUUGACUAACUUUGGAAGCGGGACUCUAAACAAAAGUCUUUCUUUGGAUGUCGGUUUAUUUAAAUACUUAUCAUCUCUUAAGAUGUCCAAAAAACGUGUUUUGAAGAAUUCAGAAACUGUGCUAGAGCUAGCAGAUAUCUUCACCCCUUUAACAAUGCUGAAGCAAUUACAGCUCCCAGUCACAAAAGCCCUUUGUCAGGGUACACUGCUUUCUCCUCGAAGCUCCCUCCUGUAAGGUUCCAGCAACCCACAAAUGCUCCAGGGCGGAUAGGAUAUCUACUAACUUAUUCACAAGAAGUAAAGAGGCCAAGUGUUGUAGGUAGUAAAGUAUAAUAACAUUUAGUGUACCAGCUUGAAUAAAAACAAAUAAAAAUACUGCA